rnacentral:pre_miRNA from 1 species
UAUUUUUUGUGUGAAUAGUGUUCAGCACCAAGGACAGGUGUGUUCAUCUGAGUGUGCGUGGUGUUCAGCACCAAGGACAGGUAUGUUUUGUG